rnacentral:rRNA from 1 species
GUAGUCCACGCCCUAAACGAUGCGAACUGGAUGUUGGGUUCAACUAGGAACUCAGUAUCGAAGCUAACGCGUUAAGUUCGCCGCCUGGGGAGUACGGUCGCAAGACUGAAACUCAAAGGAAUUGACGGGGGCCCGCACAAGCGGUGGAGUAUGUGGUUUAAUUCGAUGCAACGCGAAGAACCUUACCUGGUCUUGACAUCUAGCGAACUUUCCAGAGAUGGAUUGGUGCCUUCGGGAACGCUAAGACAGGUGCUGCAUGGCUGUCGUCAGCUCGUGUCGUGAGAUGUUGGGUUAAGUCCCGCAACGAGCGCAACCCUUGUCCUUAGUUGCCAGCACGUAAUGGUGGGAACUCUAAGGAGACCGCCGGCGACAAGCCGGA